rnacentral:rRNA from 1 species
GGCAACGACCACCCAGGGCCGGAAAGUUGGUCAAACUCGGUCAUUUAGAGGAAGUAAAAGUCGUAACAAGGUCUCCGUAGGUGAACCUGCGGAGGGAUCAUUA